rnacentral:lncRNA from 1 species
GUCGGGCGAGGCUCCUUCGCCUUGAGAGCUUAUCAGCGACUGAGCUGGCCGUGUUUAGGAGGACGGGGUGAUGCCACUGACACUGAGGGAGGCGUGAAGCCUGAGACGCGCCUGUGAGACCGGGACCGGUGGGGCCGGCGCGCGCCCAGAUUCCAGCUCUGCCCCAGGAGCCUGAAGCCCCCAGCAACCUGCAGUGUGGGCUCUGAGAAACUCGGUGAAACAGGGCUUCCCUGCAGGUGGCCAGCGGAUGGGACAAUCAGGGCAGACUUGGAGGUCUCUGAAGUCUUGGAAAGUCUGAAGGGCAGGCCAGCCUGGGAGAUGGAGGACACACUGGAGUGGCAGGUGCCUCGGGCGGCCGGCUGAGCACCAAAGAGGGACUUCUCACACACAGGUCCGCUUGGUCUCCUACACGCUUGCCCACGCGCUCCGUGGAUGCAGGAGCCGUGGUUAUCCUUGGCAGAAGGUUGAGUAGCACCUGCCUUGCCAGGGACCUGCUCCAAGCAGGCACGUCUGGUGAAUGCUGUGCCAGGCCCUUCCGGGAGCAGCCCCUCCCCGGGUGCCGGGGUCACCUGGCUCUGCCUGCCUGCAUGUGGAUCCCUGCGGGGCAGCGGGCACCCGGAUGACGUGGUUUUCCCUCACUGGAUUGGAGUGGAGUGAAUUUAACCCCCUCGUGGCUGCCAUCAUUUUCACUGUGAGGGAAGAGCAGCCGUGCCGUGGUGGUUUUAGAUGUCGUCUGUGGAGGACAUCAGGCUGACAUCCACGUCCUGGACUCCCCCUCGUUUGGUUUCAGAAUUUCUCUUAAAGACAACAUCAUAUUGUGACCCCAAAGCAUUCGAUAGAAAUAUCAAAAUUUUAAGGCACUUUGAGAAUUAAGAUAAAAUAUCUGUAAAUAUUAUGUCAAAUUUCAC